rnacentral:tRNA from 4 species
GGGGGUUUAGCUCAGUUGGUAGAGCGCCUGCUUUGCAAGCAGGAUGUCAGCGGUUCGAGUCCG